GUCAAUUAUGUUCGGGAUAAGAAAAGAACACACGAAUGUAGUUAUGGCACCAAAACCGACGCCCCAUGAACUUUUGGCGAGAGUAGCUGAUCUGAUGUAUGAAGAUGGUAAACAAAAGCCAGGGGGCGUAAACGCAACACUGUGAGAAUAGUCAACCCUCAAGGCAACCAGUUCCAAACAUUUGAAACUUCAGACGUGCAUGCUUUUGUGAUGUUUAUUGAUACCUCAUCAAUGACAGAUGUGAAGAGUUCUGGAACUAACCUUGGUGCAAAAUUUGUCCAAUCCAACCCUGACAUUAGAAAGGCGUUUGAGACGUUUUGUACCAAUUGGAAUACCUUAAUAGAAGAGGCUAACAUAUCUUCGCUAAAAGAAGAGGCUGACAUAUCUUCGCAACGCAGUGAUAUAGACAACGUGUUUGGUGGUUCUUUGUUGUCAAAUCCAAUAUUGGAGGUGAAAUCUGAAAUAGAAGAAGAAAAUCCAUAUGACUCUGAUACAGAUGUUGAGACAGACAUUGAUGAAUCCGUGGAUGAAAUGGGUGACAGGACACUCAUCGUAAAGAAGGAAACCGCUUCUUGUUCUAGCAUGCCGAAACAAGGUGAAGAUUCGGUUGCUGCUGGUACUUCAAAAAAGAGAAUAAAGACAAGAUGCAUAGCGAAAGAAAAGAAAAGCUGUAUGCUAAUACCAAGGAUAAACAUAGUAUGGAGUCACCUACAGAUCUAGAGCCGCUGCUAGACAAUUUCGGUGCUGAUGCUGAGAUGUUUGUAGAAGAUGCUGCUGAUGAUCCUGAGGAGCCACACAGUGAUCCAGAUAUACUUGAUGGCUCAUUUCUAAAUAAAUCCAGAGAGGUGGACGUGAAUGAAAAACCUUUUAAUUGUGACAUUUGUGGCAAAUCAUAUAAACUGAAAAGAUCACUGUCAAGGCAUCUUAAGGUCCAUUCAAGUGUAGACUCAUACAAGUGUUCUCUUUGCACACUUUUCUUCGAGGAUUCAAGCAAACUACUGGAACAUAAACGGUCAAAACAUCAGCCUCAUUUAUGCGUACAUUGUGGCAAGUCUUUCGGUAGUAAAUACCACUUAGAGCGCCACCUUGCUACACAUAAUAUGGGAACUCCAUCCAAGAUAGUAAAGUGUCAAUAUCCAGGUUGUGAUAAGACGUUUAGAGGCAAAACAGCACGAGAUGAUCAUACAAAUACACAUGGCAAUUUAAGGCCACAUGCGUGUAUUACCUGUUAUAGACGCUUCAAUAGCUACUCGGCAAUGAAGAUGCAUGCCAAAAUAUGUUCAGGAAAGGAGAACUGUAGCAUUUGUGGUAUUUGUGGUGUUAAAUAUAUGGAACCACGUUCACUGAAAGAACACAUACGCGCGGUUCAUCAAGAGCUGGAACUGAAAUGCUCAAAAUGUAUGAAGCCGAUUAAGUACAGGCCAAAUCUACACAGACAUGAGAAGAAAUGUAAGGGGGCUCCAAUAUGACUGUAUUUAAAAGCAUUUUAUUGUUUUGCUGAUAUCAUAUGUUAAGUUGUAAGACUUAAAAGUAAUAGUAUCAGAUUUGGAGUCAGUUAUAUUCCAGAUACUGCUAGCACACGAGUCAGAAGGAUCUACGUUUGUUUUAUCUUUGUUUUUUAGUCAAAUAGGAACAUUCUCAAUGGUGUUUGAUCCAGAUGAACACGGUUCAUGUUAAUCAGCACGGUCUGAUCCGGGACCAUAGUUUUGUACACGACUGACUGGGCCUAACAUUAAAAUAGUGUUUGUUUUCCCUCUCGCGACCCAUAUGGUAUUCAAGGUUGGGUAGGAAGGUAGGGAAAAAAUGUUAUUUUUUUAGCUCACCUGAGCAAAACGUGCUCAUGGUGAGCUUUUGUGAUCGCCUUUUGUCCGUCGUCCGUCGUGCGUUGUACGGCGUCAACAUUUGACUUGUUAACUCUCUAUAGGCCACAUUUAUUGUCCAAUCUUCAUAAAAUUUGGUCAGAAGAUUGGUCUCGAUGAUAUCUUGGAUGAGUUCGAAAAUGGUUACGUUUGCUUGAAAAACAUGGCUGCCAAGGGGCGGGUCACUUUUCCUUAUAUGGCUAUAGUAAAAUCUUGUUAACACUCUUGAGGCCACAUUUAUUGUCUGAUCUUCAUAAAACUUGGUCAGAAGAUUCAUCCCAAUAAUAUCUUGGACGAGUUCGAAAAUGAUGCCGGUUGGUUGAAAAACAUGGUCGCCAGGGGCGGGGCAUUUUUCCUUAUAUGGCUAUUGUAAAACCUUGUUAACACUCUAGAGGCCACAUUUAUUUUCCGAUCUUCAUGAAGCUUGCUCAGAAGGUUUGUCCCACUUAUAUCUUGGAUGAGUUAAAAAAUGGCAACCUUUGCUUGAAAAACAUGGCUGCCAUGGGGCGGGGCAUUUUUCCUUAUAUGGCUAUAUAUGGCUAUAGUAAAAUCUUGUUAACACUCUAGAGGCCACAUUUAUUGUCCAAACUUUAUGAAACUUGGUCAGAAGAUUCAUCCCAAUAAUAUCCUGGACAAGUUCGAAAAUGAUGCUGGUUGGUUGAAAAACAUGGCCGCCAUGGGGCGGGGCAUUUUUUCUUAUAUGGCUAUAGUAAAACCUUGUUAACACUCUAAAUGCCACAUUUAUUGUCCAAUCUUGAUGAAAUAUGGUCAGAAGAUUUGUCUUCAUGAUAUCUUUGAUGAGUUCGUAAAUGGUUACGUUUGCUUGAAAAACAUGGCUGCCAAAGGGCGGGGCAUUUUUCCUUAUAUGGCUUUAUAAGGCUGUAGUAAAAUCUUGUUAACACUCUAGAGGCCACAUUUAUAGUUCGAUCUUCAUGAAACACGGUCAGAAGAUUCAUCCCAAUAUUAUCAUGGACGAGUUGAAAAAUGAUGCCGGUUGGUUGAAAUACAAUGCCACCACGGGGGCGGGGCUAUUUUCCUUAUUUAUAUGGCUAUAGUAAAACCUUGUUAACAAGGUCACAUUUAUUUUCCGAUCAUCGUGAAACUUGGUCAGAAGAUUUGUCCCAAUGAUAUCUUGGAUGAGUUCGAAAAUGGUUUUGGUUGCUUUAAAAACAUGGCCGCCAGUGGCGGGGCAUUUUUCCUUAUAUGGCUUUAUAUGGCUAUUGUAAAACCUUGUUAACAUUCUUGAGGCCACAUUUAUAGUCCAAUCUUCAUGAAAUUUUGCUAAAAGAUUGGUCUCAAUGGUAUCUUGGAUGAGUUCCAAAAUAAUUAUGUUUGCUUUAAAAAAAAUGGCUUCCAUGGGGCGGGGCAUUUUUCCUUAUAUUGCUAUAGUAAAAUCUUGUUAACACUUUUAGAGGCCACAUUUACUGUCCGAUCUUCAUGAAACUUGGUCAGAAGAUUCAUCUCGAUAAUAUCUUGGACGAGUUCAAAAAUGAUGCCGGUUGGUUGAAAAACAUGGCUGCCAGGGGGCCGAACAUUUUUCCUUAUAUGGCUAUAGUAAAACCUUGUUAACACUCUAAAGGCCACAUUUAUUUUCCGAUCUUCGUGAAACUUGGUCAGAAGAUUUGUCCCAAUAAUAUCUUGUUAUCUCAGGUGAGCGACUUUGGGUCUUUCAGGCCCUCUUGUUUACAAAGUGCAUGAAACAGCUUAUUUCUAUUCCACUAUAUGCAACCUUAUUAAUAAUACAUACAUAGUAACAAUAGUUUAUGAUUCUAAGAAAUAACACUGAUAAUAAUUUUUCAGUUUUUGAUCUGAUUGACAUUUCAAUUGCACUAGAUAUUGAAAUACGUCGUCAUUUUGUGCAGUAAAGUUUUCGGGUAGGGUGAAUUUGGUGGGUAGGUAGUGGGAGGGGGAAACAAACAAAAUGUUAAUUUAGGCCCUCAUUAUGAAGAUGUUAUUCAUAUAGAACACUUUGUUUUACAGUAACUUUUAUUAUCUUUAUUUUUACAUUUUUCUUACAUGUUGGUGUGUAAGGAAACACACAAUUCUUGUCUAUACUAUAAUUAUCAUGUUUACAUUAAUGACAGUUUUAUUCUUUAUGAAUAAUGUUUUGGAAAGAAAAAGCACCUUUCUUGUUUAUACUUUUGUUAUCAUUUGUUACAUUAAUUAGUGUUUAAUUCUUUAUGAUCAAUGUUUUCCAUGGUAAUCAUUGUCUCAAUCAUUUUCAAAUAAAUCUAUAUAAAACUG